ACAAAAAAAUUGCAUUUGGGUCACCAUACGUGCCAGCGAGCCCAGGUCGGCAAGGCCGUGGCCUCAGUUGACUCGUCACCUCCCUCCGGCUUGGCUUCCGGCCAGCCUCAGUGACGUUCAUGCACGCGCGCGGAGCAAUGCCACCUCUCGUGGAAAAUUGGCCGGAUGUCAUCAAAGGGGCAGAGCCGCCUGAUUGUUGGCUUUUUCCGUAAGGGCGCUCGUAAAAGGUCACAAGAGGUGCGAGUCGGCGACGCACGCCACACUUUUUGAUCGUUUGACGUGCCGGCUAGUCCGUGCACGUCAGAAAUUCGACAGCUGUCCUGUUCAUGGAAAAAUCCACCGUGUGCGGCCGUCAGCAACGUGUUGGUAUUAUUCCUCGCUACAAUUGCGUGUUGAUUUAAAAUGGCUACAAUUAAGCAGAUUAUUUUUCCAGAGCUCAAUGUCCAGCCACGUUUAUUUAUGUUUUACACCAAACUUUUUUUUUUUUUUUUUCUUUCUACGCAGCCUAUCUAGGCAGCAAGCCAGUUAGCCUCAAAUUACAUGUGGCCUGCGGCUCGAGGCUAAGUCACUUGAAUGCUCACGCCAUCUGUAACAAACUGUACAGGAUGCUAACGUUACAGGCCAGGGGAACUUCACUCCAUUCACUUUCCACCAGUAUGCUUGACUGUUUUUUGUUUUCUUCAAAAUGCA